rnacentral:rRNA from 1 species
ACCCGUUGAUCCUGCGGGAGGUCGCUACUAUUAGGGUUCGACUAAGCCAUGCAAGUCAGAGGGGCUCUUCGGAGUCACAGGCAAAAUGCUCAGUAACACGUCGUUAAUCUAACCUUAGAUCUGGAAUAACCUUGGAAAACUGAGGCUAAAACCGGAUAUGGGAAAAUAAUUGGAAAAUGUUUUCCUUUAAAAGCAAUGUCUAAGGAUGAGACGGCGGCGGAUUAGGUUGUUGGCGGGGUAAUGGCCCACCAAGCCGACGAUCCGUAGGGGCCGUGAGAGCGGUAGCCCCGAGAAGGACACUGAGAUACUGGUCCUAGCCCUACGGGGUGCAGCAGGCGCGAAACCUUUACAAUGCACGAAAGUGUGAUAAGGGAACCCUAAGUGCUCAUGUUUUACAUGGGCUUUUGCCAAGAAUAAAUAUCUUGGCGAAUAAGUGGUGGGAAAGACUGGUGCCAGCAGCCGCGUAACACCAGCGCCACAAGUAGGGACCACUACUAUUGGGCCUAAAGCGUCCGUAGCCGGCUGAAUAAAUUUCUUGUGAAAUUGUUGGGCUUAACCUAACAACGUGCAGGAAAAACUGUUCAGCUUGGAACCGGGAGAAGUCAGGAGUAUGCUGGGGGGAGCGGUAAAAUGUUAUAAUCCCCGGUAGACUACCAGUGGCGAAGGCGCCUGACUAGAACGGAUUCGACGGUGAGGGACGAAAGCCAGGGGAGCGAAGCGGAUUAGAUACCCGUGUAGUCCUGGCCGUAAACGCUGCGAGCUAGGUGUUGCAUAUUCUACAUGAAUAUGCAGUAUCGAAGCGAAGGUGAUAAGCUCGCCGCCUGGGAAGUAUGGUCGCAAGGCUGAAACUUAAAGGAAUUGGCGGGGGAGCACUACAAGGGGUGCGGCGUGCGGUUUAAUCUAAUUCAACGCAGAGAAUCUCACCAGAAGCGACGGCAGGAUGAAAGUCAGGCUAAAGGUCUUACUUGACGAGCCGAGAGGUAGUGCAUGGCCGCCGUCAGCUCGUGCUGUAAAGUGUCCUGUUAAGUCAGGCAACGAGCGAGACCUGCAUCUACAAUUGCUAACGGAUUCUUUAGAAUGACUGAGCACAUUGUGGAGACUGCCCAGGAAACAGGGAGGAAGGUGCAGGCUACGGUAGGUCUGUAUGCUCCGAAUCUUCUGGGCUACACGCGCGCAACAAUGGUAAGGACAAUGGGAUGCGACUCCGAAAGGAGGAGCUAAUCCUCGAAACCUUAUCCAAGUCUAGAUUGAGGAUUGUAACUCAUCCUCAUGACAAUGGAAUCCCUAGUAAUCAGAGUUUAUCAUACUCCGGUGAACAUGUCCCUGCUCCUUGCACACACCGCCCGUCAAGCCACCCGAGUAGGGUUUAGGUGAGAGGUAAAUUUUAUUUGCAUCGAACCUAAGCUCAGCGAGGAGGGCUAAGUCGUCACAAGGUA